rnacentral:lncRNA from 1 species
AUAUAUAUAUAAUUAUGCUCCUAUACUAUCAAUAGUACCAAGCUCUUGGUACUAUUGAGUUUUUGGCCGUUGGAUGAAAGGAUGUGCGGUUAGAAUGAUAGUGGUCCCCUAGGGUUGAGUGGGUGGUUGGUUUAAUAGUAUAAUCUAACGGGUGGAAAUGAUCACAUGGUAGAUCUAACGGUAGAAAACUCUAUAGUACCAAAGGCUUGGUACUAUCAAUAGUAUAGUAGCCGGACUUUAUAGAAUUAUAUAUAUAGUUGAGUUGGAAUAUUAUUAAUAGUAUAUGGGUUUUUUUGUUAUCGAUUUUUUAGCCGUUAGAUCUAUACUUUAAUCAAUUCCACCUUUUAAAUCAUACUAUUCAAUCAACCACCACUAAACCCUGUGGGACCACUAUCAUUCUAACCCUACAAUUUUUCAUCAAAUUGUUAAAAACUCAAUAGUAAAAGUGUUCAAAUACUAUUAAUAGUAUUUUAGCCCAAUUAUAUAUUUAUACUAUAUAGAAAAGCAUGUAUUUCAGAUUUGGGUCUGUCGACAGACCCAUUUUUUAGCGGGAAAAAUAUUGAUUACUUUUUCCGUACGUAAAAUAAAUAGCAUAAUAAAACAAACUUUUAAUUUCCGUUUAUCUCUAAAAUAGAAAAAAAAAUAUAUACUUAUCCAAAUUUUUGCCAACCGAAAGAUAUCUACUGUGAAUCUAUAUUUUAAUACGAAAUUUGUUUAAUUUCUUCUUAUCUCUAAAAUAGAAAAAUGUUCACGCUUAUCCAAAUUUUUGCCAGAAUAUCUACUGUAAAUCUAUAUUUCAAUUCAAAAUAUAAAAUUAAUUUAAAAUUUUAAAUGUUGGGACUAUCAACAUAUUAACGACAAUAAUUUAAUAGAUAGAUUGGUUGAUAAAUUUGUAAAUCAUAUUUUUGAAUUAAUAUGAUGUAUAAAUUUAUGAUCAAUUUAUAAAAAAUUAUCUCAAAUAAGAACAAACGGUUAUGAUCAAUUUGUUAAAAAAAAUAUUUAUGCCCAUCUAUAAUUUCAAUUCUACGAACGGUUAUGAUCAAUUGAUUAAAAAUAUUGAAAAUAAAAAUGAACUGUUAUGAUCAAUCUGUUAAAAAAUAGCACUUCUAUCUAUUUAUUUUACAUUAAAAUUUAAAUUU